rnacentral:rRNA from 1 species
UUGGUUAAGUUAGAAAGGGCGCACGGUGGAUGCCUUGGCACUAGGAGCCGAAGAAGGACGGGACUAACACCGAUAUGCUUUGGGGAGCUGUACGUAAGCGUUGAUCCAGAGAUUUCCGAAUGGGGGAACCCACUAUCUUUAGUCGGAUAGUAUCCUUACGUGAAUACAUAGCGUGAGGAAGGCAGACCCAGGGAACUGAAACAUCUAAGUACCUGGAGGAAGAGAAAGAAAAAUCGAUUUCCUGAGUAGCGGCGAGCGAAACGGAAAGAGCCCAAACCAAGAAGCUUGCUUCUUGGGGUUGUAGGACACUCUAUACGGAGUUACAAAAGAAAGUUAUAAAUGAAGCGGUCUGGAAAGGCCCGCCAAAGACGGUAACAGCCCGGUAGUUGAAAUAGCUUUCCCUCCAGAGUGGAUCCUGAGUACGGCGGAACACGUGAAAUUCCGUCGGAAUCCGGGAGGACCAUCUCCCAAGGCUAAAUACUCCCUAGUGACCGAUAGUGAACCAGUACCGUGAGGGAAAGGUGAAAAGCACCCCGGAAGGGGAGUGAAACAGUUCCUGAAACCGUGUGCCUACAAGUAGUUAGAGCCCGUUAAUGGGUGAUAGCGUGCCUUUUGUAGAAUGAACCGGCGAGUUACGAUUUGUUGCAAGGUUAAGCGGAAAAAGCGGAGCCGUAGCGAAAGCGAGUCUGAAUAGGGCGCAUAAGUAACAGGUCGUAGACCCGAAACCAGGUGAUCUACCCAUGUCCAGGAUGAAGGUAAGGUAAUACUUACUGGAGGUCCGAACCCACGCACGUUGAAAAGUGCGGGGAUGAGGUGUGGGUAGCGGAGAAAUUCCAAUCGAACUUGGAGAUAGCUGGUUCUCUCCGAAAUAGCUUUAGGGCUAGCCUCGAGGUAAAGAGUCAUGGAGGUAGAGCACUGUUUGGACUAGGGGCCCUUCUCGGGUUACCGAAUUCAGAUAAACUCCGAAUGCCAUGUACUUAUACUCGGGAGUCAGACUGCGAGUGAUAAGAUCCGUAGUCGAAAGGGAAACAGCCCAGACCACCAGUUAAGGUCCCCAAAUAUAUGUUAAGUGGAAAAGGAUGUGGGGUUGCUUAGACAACCAGGAUGUUGGCUUAGAAGCAGCCACCAUUGAAAGAGUGCGUAAUAGCUCACUGGUCGAGUGACCCCGCGCCGAAAAUGUACCGGGGCUAAACAUAUUACCGAAACUGUGGAUGAACCUCUUCGGAGGUUCGUGGUAGGAGAGCGUUCUAAGGGCGGUGAAGUCAGACCGGAAGGACUGGUGGAGCGCUUAGAAGUGAGAAUGCCGGUAUGAGUAGCGAAAGAAGGGUGAGAAUCCCUUCCACCGAAUAUCUAAGGUUUCCUGAGGAAGGCUCGUCCGCUCAGGGUUAGUCGGGACCUAAGCCGAGGCCGAUAGGCGUAGGCGAUGGACAACAGGUAGAGAUUCCUGUACCAGUGCUAAUUGUUUAACCGAUGGGGUGACACAGAAGGAUAGGGAAUCGCACGAAUGGAAAUGUGCGUCCAAGCAGUGAGUGUGAGAAGUAGGCAAAUCCGCUUCUCG